AGUGAACGCUGGCGGUAGGCCUAACACAUGCAAGUCGAACGGCAGCACAGUAAGAGCUUGCUCUUACGGGUGGCGAGUGGCGGACGGGUGAGGAAUACAUCGGAAUCUACUUUUUCGUGGGGGAUAACGUAGGGAAACUUACGCUAAUACCGCAUACGACCUACGGGUGAAAGCAGGGGAUCUUCGGACCUUGCGCGAUUGAAUGAGCCGAUGUCGGAUUAGCUAGUUGGCGGGGUAAAGGCCCACCAAGUCGACGAUCCGUAGCUGGUCUGAGAGGAUGAUCGGCCACACUUGAACUGAGACACGGUCCAGACUCCUACGGGAGGCAGCAGUGGGGAAUAUUGGACAAUGGGCGCAAGCCUGAUCCAGCCAUACCGCGUGGGUGAAGAAGGCCUUCGGGUUGUAAAACCCUUUUGUUGGGAAAGAAAAGCAGCAGGUUAAUACCCCGCUGUUCUGACGGUACCCAAAGAAUAAGCACCGGCUAACUUCGUG
rnacentral:rRNA from 1 species